CUGCAGAAAAUGCCCAGUUUAGUCUGGGAGACACUCAGACCCCUCGGGACAAGGGUGGCUAGAGAGAGGUCCAAGCUGCCCUGGGUGGGUGGGGAGUCAAGGCAGGCCAAAGCUUCAGAUUUAGACAGUAACCACCAAAUCCGACCUGGGCUGCAGGUCCAAGGCCUCUUCCUCUUUCCUGCAUGCUUCCCUCUGCCGCUGGCCCAUCUUCCACUGUAACCCCUACAACUACCAAAGCAAAAAGGCCUGUCCCAACUCCAUCCUCACCGCCCGAUCCCCAACCCUCAGGGGAUCCCGCUUCAUGUCUCCUCUUUAUUUUACAACACGGCCCUCCUUGCAGCCCUCACGAAAAGUUCUGCAGUGGGGUCCCCCAGCGUGGGGCCCUUCCCGAGACCCUUGAAGAGAACGCUCGUUUGGUGGACCACACUCGGGCAGCGCGGGCCCGGGCUUGGCCUGGUUCUACUUGUGUCCUGAGGUCCCUGACCACCGCCUUGGGUCCAGCCCUCGUCCAGGGGGCGGCGGUGCAGGGGAGACCGCUCGGCCCGGCCUGAAGCGCGGCCGCCCUCAUCCCUUCCCCGGGGCUGGGGUGUGUCACCGGCCGACAAACUCAGAAGGGGCCGUGCCCCCGUCCCCGACGCGCUCACAAACGCCGUGGUCGCCCGAACCUUCGGCCCCGCAGCAUUCGGCUACAGGACCGCGACACUGCAGGGCCCCGGCUCUGCGCGCUGCGCUCCGGCCGCUCAGCGCGGGAGGACGCGCGGUCGCGCCUGCCUCGGUGGCCGCGCGGGGUGGGAGCAUUUCAGAGCGCCCAAGCCAUGGUGGCCAAACAGCGGAUCCGGAUGGCUAACGAGAAGCACAGCAAAAACAUCACCCAGAGGGGGAACGUAGCCAAAACCCUGAGGCCGCAAGAGGAGAAAUAUCCUGUGGGACCAUGGCUGUUGGCACUGUUUGUUUUUGUUGUCUGUGGCUCAGGUCAACCACAUAAAUUGGCCUUUCCUGGAGACUACCAGAACUUUCUCAAAACUGUAACAUCCAGAGGGAGUCACCCCCCCCACAAGAUCGGCAAGUGAGAUGUUUAAGGAACUGGCCGGCCCUGAAGGAAAGACUGAGGCCAUUCUUCUGCUCUGGAGUUCAUCCUUGGGAUCUGAGAUGCACAGCCUGGAGAAGACCCCUCAUCAGCCAUCGGCUCCCUUAAGCUAUCUUUCAGAUCAUUCAGAGCAUAAGGAUGGGCAUGUGAGAAGGCCAGGGAUUUGACAGCACCUCCCUCCCACUGGAGGGGGGAGGACAACGGAAGCGGUCAGCCAGUUUCUGCGGGAAACAAGCAGGCCACAAGGAAUAGAAAAAAAACGCUCCCCCACUUGUUCCCUGAUCACUUCAUCAUGGAUGUCAGACCAAAUUGCCUUCUCACAGGACAUCUUGGUGCAUCCGUGUUCUCAAGCGGAAAGGACAUUUUGCUUUUCUGUUGGCAGGAUUAGUAGCCACGCGGGUCGUCCGCAGCAGUGCUGUCUUUUUGGUUUUUCACUUGGUUUCACUAAUGCGUGCAUGUGGCCCUCUGAACAAUCACUGGUUUACUUUCUAUGGAUACAAUCUCUCCUCCAUUGAGAAUUGGUUUUACAAAUAAAUGUCUUCAUUCAACCUUA